AUGGUGACUCAAGCAUUUUCCUGGUCAGCCUGUUCCAAUGCUCGACAAUCCUUUCAGUGAAGAAAUUUUUCCUAUCAUCCAACCUAAACCUCCCUCGCGCAACUUGAGGGUCUUUCCUCUUUGUAGUGGGUUGGUUUCUUGGAUUUUUUUUAGGCCUUCCUUAGCAACGGGGUCAGAAAUCUAAGGAAGUAUUCCAUAUCAUUUCUUUCCGUAACACAACACAUAAAAAGGCGCAGAUAAGAGAGUUCACUCUCUUCUCUCUUCCGGUGGCUGAAGGCAAUAGGUCUCUCCGCAGACGGUCUUUGCUUGUAUAGGCCAGGGCCUGCUGCUCAGACCUGCCGUAAUCUCCGGUCUCUCUGGGAGGUGUGGGGAGUUGGCUGCUGCCUCGUGCAGUUCUACUGCCCCUUUCAGCUGAGCAGCAGGAUGCCAGGCUCAGUGAGGAUUAGUGCUUCCUGUGGACCAUGCACUGGGACCUCAUGAGAAAAAUGUUUGGUAUGAUAACAAAGAAAUUCAUUCUGAUUUUGAAUGAUCAAACCAACUGUGGGUUUCAUCAACAUGAUACACUUCAAUAACAGUCUUUUCCAGGAUAUCAUGAAAUGCCUUGAAUAACAUCAGAAAAUUUCUAGUUCUCCCUCUUGUCUGCUGUUAAUCCUUAUGCUGUUCCCCUGUUCAUCUCCUGGAG